AAAUAUCCACCAAUGAGGAUUGUCAUGGGAGGUCCAAAGACUGAACCAUAAGACCAAUCAGAAAAAAGGAUCUAGUUUCCUGUAAAAAGAAAAAUCAGAUUGUACUAAACUUGCACUAGGAAGCAGGAAAGCCUUUAAAACUCAAGCUUUGAUGGAAACAUAUCAUCAGGCCAACAAAGGAAAGGAGAAUGGAAAAUUCUGCCUGUAAACAGAUCUUAGGAGUCUUCUUUCUACAAAUGGCAGAUGAUCUAACUUCUAAAAAGUAAAGUUAAGGGAAUCAA